rnacentral:rRNA from 1 species
UACGAAGGGUGCAAACGUUGCUCGGAAUCACUGGGCGUAAAGCGCACGUAGGCGGCUCUGCAAGUCGGAUGUGAAAUCCCUCGGCUCAACCGAGGACGUGCAUCCGAAACUGCGGAGCUUGAGUAUGGAAGAGGGUCGCGGAAUCCCCGGUGUAGAGGUGAAAUUCGUAGAUAUCGGGGGGAACACCAGUGGCGAAGGCGGCGACCUGGGCCAAUACUGACGCUGAGGUGCGAAAGCGUGGGGAGCAAACAGG